rnacentral:rRNA from 1 species
GAUCCUGGCUCAGGACGAACGCUGGCGGCGUGCUUAACACAUGCAAGUCGAACGAGAAUCUAAUGACGGAGUUUUCGGACAACUGAUUUAGAGGACAGUGGCGGACUGGUGAGUAACGCGUGAGGAACCUGCCUUUCAGAGGGGACGAACAGUUGGAAACGACUGCUAAUACCGCAUGAUGUGUAGCUGGGACGAUCCCGGACUACACCAAAGAUUUAUUCGCUGAAAGAAUGGCCUCGCG